AAUCUUCCCUUUAGCGUUGACAGUGCCCAACUAGCUGGUUUGUUUGAAAGUGCUGGAAAUGUUGAGAUGGUUGAGGUAAUAUAUGACAAAGUAACUGGGAGAAGCAGAGGAUUUGGUUUUGUGACCAUGUCAUCUACCGAGGAAGCUGAAGCAGCUGCUCAGCAGUUCAAUGGCUAUGAACUUGAGGGUAGGUCGUUGAGGGUGAAUUCUGGACCCCCACCCCAGAAGGAACCUUCUUUUUCUAGAGGCCCACGAGGUGGUGAAGCUUUUGAUUCAGCCAACCGGUUGUAUGUUGGCAACCUUUCUUGGAAUGUUGAUAACUUGGCACUUGAGACCUUUUUCAGUGAGCAAGGGAGGGUUUUGGAUGCUAAGGUGGUCUAUGACAGAGAGAGCGGUAGAUCAAGGGGCUUUGGUUUUGUUACUUAUGGUUCUGCUGAAGAGGUUGAAAAUGCCAUUGAGUCCCUGAAUGGUGUUGAAUUUGAUGGCAGACCAAUUCGGGUCUCUGUUGCAGAAGCUAGACCAAGGCGUCAAUUUUGAGCACAAAACCGUUCGUGUAUUUCUUUGUGGAAGAAUACUUCAGGGAAUUGGGAGAUGAGCAACUGCAAUCUGUUGCUAUAUUGCUGUUCUUCAAACACAUGCCGAAUGAUCCUUGUUCUUAAACUGCUUUUAGGAAUGACAGCCUCGUGCUUCUUAGAAGUAUGCAUCUGGAAUGAACAAGAGGCCUGCAUUGAAAUUUCUUGAUGUAUUUUUUGAUCCUGAUUAAAACUUUUAUAUUUAUGCUAUUUAUAGAGUUAAUGUAUCAGUUAUUUAGUUUGGCUUUCCCAUACAUAUUUUGUUAGAAGAACACCUUUUGAUUGAAAUUUCCC
rnacentral:misc_RNA from 1 species